ACAUGCCUACAACAUAGCGUUAAUGCAACAGAUCCCAUUAGAACUCCGCAGUUAAGCGCGCUCAGGCUAGAGUAGUAAUGGGAUGGGUGAUCACCCGGGAAGUCCUAGUGUUUUACAUGCC
rnacentral:rRNA from 1 species